rnacentral:rRNA from 1 species
UGUGUUAACGUACCUUUGUUGCUUUGGCAGGCCGCGGCCUCCGCUACGGGCCCACGCUCGUAUGCGCCUGCCAGAGGACCCAACUCUUGUUUUUAGUGAUGUCUGAGUACUAUUAAAUAGUUAAAACUUUCAACAACGGAUCUCUUGGUUCUGGCAUCGAUGAAGAACGCAGCGAAAUGCGAUAAGUAAUGUGAAUUGCAGAAUUCAGUGAAUCAUCGAAUCUUUGAACGCACAUUGCGCCCGCUGGUAUUCCGGCGGGCAUGCCUGUUCGAGCGUCAUUAUGACCAACUCACGCUCCGCGUGGUCUUGGGGUCCGCUGCCUCGGCGGCCCCUAAACGCAGUGGCGGUGCCGUGCGGCUCUCAGCGUAGUAAUACUUCUCGCUACAGAGUCCGGACGGUGCUAGCCAGCAACCCCAACUUCUUUAGGUUGACCUCGGAUCAGGUAGGGAUACCCGCUGAACUUAAGCAUAU